CCAAUAGCGUAUAUUAAAGUUGUUGCCGUUAAAAAGCUCGUAGUUGAAUUUUAGACCUGGCCAGGCGGUCCGUCUUUGGCGAGUACUGUUCUGUGUCGGGCCUUUCCUUCUGGUUAACCGGCGUGCUCUUUAUUGAGUGCGCCGUGCGAGCCAGGACCAUUACCUUGAAAAAAUUAGAGUGUUUAAAGCGGGCAUUUGCUUGAAUAGAUUAGCAUGGAAUAAUAGAAUAGGACGUUGGUUCUAUUUUGUUGGUCUAGGACCACCGUAAUGAUUAAUAGGGGUAGUUGGGGGCAUUAGUAUUCAAUUGUCAGAGGUGAAAUUCUUGGAUUUAUUGAAGACUAACUAUUGCGAAAGCAUUUGCCAAGGAUGUUUUCAUUAAUCAAGAACGAAAGUUAGGGGAUCGAAGACGAUCAGAUACCGUCGUAGUCUUAACCAUAAACUAUGCCGACUAGGAAUCGGGCGACGUUAUUUUCAUGACUCGCUCGGCGCCUUAUG
rnacentral:rRNA from 1 species